rnacentral:rRNA from 1 species
GAUGAACGCUAGCGAUAGGCCUAACACAUGCAAGUCGAGGGGCAUCACAUGAAGUAGCAAUACGGAUGGUGGCGACCGGCGCACGGGUGAGUAACACGUAUGCAAUCUGCCUUCAACAAGGGGAUAACCCGUUGAAAGACGGACUAAUACCCUAUAACACAGGGGUCCCGCAUGGGAAUAUUUGUUAAAGGACAACCGGUUGAAGAUGGGCAUGCGUUCCAUUAGCUAGUUGGCGGGUAACGGCCCACCAAGGCAACGAUGGAUAGGGGAACUGAGAGGUUUAUCCCCCACACUGGUACUGAGACACGGACCAGACUCCUACGGGAGGGCAGCAGUGAGGAAUAUUGGUCAAUGGACGCAAGUCUGAACCAGCCACGUCGCGUGAAGGAAGACGGCCCUA